rnacentral:rRNA from 1 species
CCUACGGGCGGCAGCAGUGAGGAAUAUUGGUCAAUGGGCGCGAGCCUGAACCAGCCAAGUCGCGUGAGGGAUGACGGUCCUAUGGAUUGUAAACCUCUUUUGUCGGGGAGCAAGGCCCGCCACGUGUGGCGGGAAGGAGAGUACCCGGAGAAAAAGCAUCGGCUAACUCCGUGCCAGCAGCCGAGGUAAUACGGAGGAUGCGAGCGUUAUCCGGAUUUAUUGGGGUUAAAGGGUGCGUAGGCGGAAGGGUAAGUCAGCUGUGAAAGUACGCGGCUCAACCGUGGAAUUGCAGUUGAAACUGGAGGCCUUGAGUGCAAACAGGGAUGCCGGAAUUCAUGGUGUAGCGGUGAAAUGCUUAGAUAUCAUGAAGAACUCCGAUCGCGAAGGCAAGUGUCCGGGGUGCAACUGACGCUGAGGCUCGAAAGUGCGGGUAUCAAACAGGAUUAGAUACCCUUGUAGUC